rnacentral:rRNA from 1 species
AGAGUUUGAUCCUGGCUCAGGAUGAACGCUGGCGGCAUGCCUAAUACAUGCAAGUCGAACGAAGUUUCGAGGAAGCUUGCUUCCAAAGAGACUUAGUGGCGAACGGGUGAGUAACACGUAGGUAACCUGCCCAUGUGUCCGGGAUAACUGCUGGAAACGGUAGCUAAAACCGGAUAGGUAUACAGAGCGCAUGCUCAGUAUAUUAAAGCGCCCAUCAAGGCGUGAACAUGGAUGGACCUGCGGCGCAUUAGCUAGUUGGUGAGGUAACGGCCCACCAAGGCGAUGAUGCGUAGCCGGCCUGAGAGGGUAAACGGCCACAUUGGGACUGAGACACGGCCCAAACUCCUACGGGAGGCAGCAGUAGGGAAUUUUCGUCAAUGGGGGAAACCCUGAACGAGCAAUGCCGCGUGAGUGAAGAAGGUCUUCGGAUCGUAAAGCUCUGUUGUAAGUGAAGAACGGCUCAUAGAGGAAAUGCUAUGGGAGUGACGGUAGCUUACCAGAAAGCCACGGCUAACUACGUGCCAGCAGCCGCGGUAAUACGUAGGUGGCAAGCGUUAUCCGGAAUCAUUGGGCGUAAAGGGUGCGUAGGUGGCGUACUAAGUCUGUAGUAAAAGGCAAUGGCUCAACCAUUGUAAGCUAUGGAAACUGGUAUGCUGGAGUGCAGAAGAGGGCGAUGGAAUUCCAUGUGUAGCGGUAAAAUGCGUAGAUAUAUGGAGGAACACCAGUGGCGAAGGCGGUCGCCUGGUCUGUAACUGACACUGAGGCACGAAAGCGUGGGGAGCAAAUAGGAUUAGAUACCCUAGUAGUCCACGCCGUAAACGAUGAGAACUAAGUGUUGGAGGAAUUCAGUGCUGCAGUUAACGCAAUAAGUUCUCCGCCUGGGGAGUAUGCACGCAAGUGUGAAACUCAAAGGAAUUGACGGGGGCCCGCACAAGCGGUGGAGUAUGUGGUUUAAUUCGAAGCAACGCGAAGAACCUUACCAGGGCUUGACAUCCCACUAACGAGGCAGAGAUGCGUUAGGUGCCCUUCGGGGAAAGUGGAGACAGGUGGUGCAUGGUUGUCGUCAGCUCGUGUCGUGAGAUGUUGGGUUAAGUCCCGCAACGAGCGCAACCCUUGUCGCAUGUUACCAGCAUCAAGUUGGGGACUCAUGCGAGACUGCCGGUGACAAACCGGAGGAAGGUGGGGAUGACGUCAAAUCAUCAUGCCCCUUAUGGCCUGGGCUACACACGUACUACAAUGGCGACCACAAAGAGCAGCGACUUGGUGACAAGAAGCGAAUCUCAUAAAGGUCGUCUCAGUUCGGAUUGAAGUCUGCAACUCGACUUCAUGAAGUCGGAAUCGCUAGUAAUCGCAGAUCAGCAUGCUGCGGUGAAUACGUUCUCGGGCCUUGUACACACCGCCCGUCAAACCAUGGGAGUCAGUAAUACCCGAAGCCGGUGGCAUAACCGUAAGGAGUGAGCCGUCGAAGGUAGGACCGAUGACUGGGGUUAAGUCGUAACAAGGUAUCCCUACGGGAACGUGGGGAUG